rnacentral:rRNA from 1 species
UUACGGGAGGCAGCAGUGAGGGAUAUUGGGCAAUGGCCGAAAGGCUGACCCAGCAACGCCGCGUGGAGGAAGACGGUCUUCGGAUUGUAAACUCCUUUUCUGUGGGACGAGCGAGGACGGUACCACAGGAAUAAGUCUCGGCUAACUACGUGCCAGCAGCCGCGGUAAAACGUAGGAGGCGAGCGUUAUCCGGAUUUACUGGGCGUAAAGGGCAAGUAGGUGGUUUGGUGCGUGGGGUUUGAAAUCGUCUGGCUUAACUGGACGUGUGGGCCCCAAACGGCCGGACUUGAGGUAGGGAGAGGGAUGCGGAAUUCCUGGUGUAGUGGUGGAAUGCGUAGAGAUCAGGAGGAACACCCGUGGCGAAAGCGGCAUCCUGGCCCUGACCUGACACUGAGGUGCGAAAGCGUGGGGAGCAAACAGGAUUAGAUACCCCGGU